rnacentral:tRNA from 2 species
GGGCCUAUAGCUCAGUUGGUAGAGCGCCUCCCUUGCACGGAGGAGGCCAGGAGUUCGAGUCUCCUUAGGUCCA